CACUUGAGGACUCACCUCUCUGGUUUUGUUGCAGAAAGGCUCAGCCAUGGGGAUGUGACUCACUCCGGUUGGACUGGUGGGCUGUCCGUCAUACAGCGUCUGAGCUCUCUUGAUCAGAUCUGGGCUAACGCGACUGUGAGAAGGAAGAAUCUGCAAAACAGCUGACGGCUCGCCAGUAAGGGCGUGCCUCAAGAAGAGAAAUGACCCCUUCCCAUAGUGACUGUGGUGACUGCAGGAACGCCGUUGCAGGAUGACGACCACUGGAAUACAACUCUGCACUUCUUGUUAAUUCAAUGGUUGUAUUCUUGUAGCUUGCGUGUGGAGCGCUUGCCUUCUGCAAGUGCAUUCUGACAGAGUAAGGAAAAUGUCUGAACCAUAACCUGCUCCUGUGCUUACAUUCCACUCACCUGUCA